AUUGAUUUAUAUUAAAAAAUACAUAAAAUAGGGGGCAGUGUGGCCUGGGGUGUUAUUAGUGUGUGAGCAUGAGCUAGAGUAUGCAAGGUAAAUGUGUGCGCCCACCCAAGUGCCCCUCCCCUGCCUACACUUUGAUCUUAUUUGAUCUGGUCUAACCCCAAUCCUCAGCCCCACCAGGGUCAACACAAGAUGAGAUAAACCUCCCUCCUGCUUAACCCUCCUACUUGUGCCCUGUGGAAUUAGUCCUUCCCAGAAGCAGCACCAUCACCUGAGGCCUAGUUCAGUCUCUACCUAGAGUUGGUUCCCAGAAGUCCAGUGCUCAGAUGUGAUGAAUUGAUCAGAUAAGGGAGGACCAGAGGUUCGCCUCCCUGGUCACUGAUUUAUCAAAGGCAAUUCUGAUCUGA